rnacentral:rRNA from 1 species
UACAGAGGUCCCGAGCGUUGUUCGGAUUCACUGGGCGUAAAGGGUGCGUAGGUGGUGAGGUAAGUCGGAUGUGAAAUCUCCGGGCUCAACCCGGAAAUGGCAUUGGAAACUACCUUGCUGGAGGAUUUGAGGGGGGAUUGGAAUACUUGGUGUAGCAGUGAAAUGCGUAGAUAUCAAGUGGAACACCAGUGGCGAAGGCGGGUCUCUGGACAGUUCCUGACACUGAGACACGAAGGCCAGGGGAGCAAACGGG